rnacentral:rRNA from 1 species
CCUACGGGUGGCUGCAGUGGGGAAUAUUGGACAAUGGGGGGAACCCUGAUCCAGCCAUGCCGCGUGUGUGAAGAAGGCCCUCGGGUUGUAAAGCACUUUCAGUGAGGAAGAACGCCUGGUGGUUAAUACCCAUCAGGAAAGACAUCACUCACAGAAGAAGCACCGGCUAACUCCGUGCCAGCAGCCGCGGUAAUACGGAGGGUGCGAGCGUUAAUCGGAAUUACUGGGCGUAAAGCGCGCGUAGGUGGCUUGAUAAGCCGGUUGUGAAAGCCCCGGGCUCAACCUGGGAACGGCAUCCGGAACUGUCAAGCUAGAGUGCAGGAGAGGAAGGUAGAAUUCCCGGUGUAGCGGUGAAAUGCGUAGAGAUCGGGAGGAAUACCAGUGGCGAAGGCGGCCUUCUGGACUGACACUGACACUGAGGUGCGAAAGCGUGGGUAGCAAACAGGAUUAGAUACCCGUGUAGUA